rnacentral:rRNA from 1 species
UACGAAGGGGGCUAGCGUUGCUCGGAAUUACUGGGCGUAAAGCGCACGUAGGCGGCUUUGUAAGUAAGAGGUGAAAAGCCCAGAGCUCCAACUCUGGAAAUUGCCGUUUUAGAACUGCAUCGCUUGAAUCAUGGAGGAGGUCAGUGGAAUUCCGAAGUGUAGAGGUGAAAUUCGUAGAUAUUCGGAAGAAACACCAGUGGCGAAGGGCGGCUGACUGGACAUGUAUUGACGCUGAGGUGCGAAAGCGUGGGGAGCAAACAGGG